rnacentral:rRNA from 1 species
AUUGAACGCUGGCGGCAGGCCUAACACAUGCAAGUCGAGCGGAGCGGCGGACGGGUGCGUAAUGCCUAGGUAUCUGCCUGGUAGUGGGGGAUAACGUCAGGAAACGGGAGCUAAUACCGAAACCUAGCAGAUGAGCCUAGGUCGGAUUAGCUAGUUGGUGGGGUAAAGGCAUACCAAGGCGACGACCCGUAACUGGUCUGAGAGGAUGAUCAGUCACACUGGAACUGAGACACGGCCCAGACUCCUACGGGAGGCAGCAGUGGGGAAUAUUGGACAAUGGGCGAAAGCCUGAUCCAGCCAUGCCGCGUGUGUGAAGAAGGUCUUCGGAUUGUAAAGCACUUUAAGUUGGGAGGCGUUACCAACAGAAUAAGCACCGGCUAACUUCGUGCCAGCAGCCGCGGUAAUUC